ACUACAUGCUGAGGUCCGAUGACGAGUCACUACGGUGAUGAAGUAGCUCAUGCCCCGCUUCCAGGAAAAGCCUCUAAGCUCUAGAUUAUCAUUAAUCGUACCCCAAACCGACACAGGUGGUCAGGUAGAGAAUACUCAGGCGCUUGAGAGAACUCGGGUGAAGGAACUAGGCAAAAUGGUGCCGUAACUUCGGGAGAAGGCACGCUGGCGCUAGGUGAAGUCCCUUGCGGAUGGAGCUGAAGCCAGUCGCAGAUACCAGCUGGCUGCAACUGUUUAUUAAAAACACAGCACUGUGCAAACACGAAAGUGGACGUAUACGGUGUGACGCCUGCCCGGUGCUGGAAGGUUAAUUGAUGGGGUUAUCCGUAAGGAGAAGCUCUUGAUCGAAGCCCCAGUAAACGGCGGCCGUAACUAUAACGGUCCUAAGGUAGCGAAAUUCCUUGUCGGGUAAGUUCCGACCUGCACGAAUGGCGUAAUGAUGGCCAGGCUGUCUCCACCCGAGACUCAGUGAAAUUGAACUCGCUGUGAAGAUGCAGUGUACCCGCGGCAAGACGGAAAGACCCCGUGAACCUUUACUAUAGCUUGACACUGAACAUUGAGCCUUGAUGUGUAGGAUAGGUGGGAGGCUUUGAAGUGUGGACGCCAGUCUGCAUGGAGCCAACCUUGAAAUACCACCCUUUAAUGUUUGAUGUUCUAACGUAGCCCCGUUAUCCGGGGUGCGGACAGUGUCUGGUGGGUAGUUUGACUGGGGCGGUCUCCUCCCAAAGAGUAACGGAGGAGCACGAAGGUUGGCUAAGCAUGGUCGGACAUCAUGCGGUUAGUGCAAAGGCAUAAGCCAGCUUGACUGCGAGAGUGACGGCUCGAGCAGGUACGAAAGUAGGUCUUAGUGAUCCGGUGGUUCUGAAUGGAAGGGCCAUCGCUCAACGGAUAAAAGGUACUCCGGGGAUAACAGGCUGAUACCGCCCAAGAGUUCAUAUCGACGGCGGUGUUUGGCACCUCGAUGUCGGCUCAUCACAUCCUGGGGCUGAAGUAGGUCCCAAGGGUACGGCUGUUCGCCGUUUAAAGUGGUACGCGAGCUGGGUUUAGAACGUCGUGAGACAGUUCGGUCCCUAUCUGCCGUGGGCGUUGGAAGAUUGAAAGGGGCUGCUCCUAGUACGAGAGGACCGGAGUGGACGCACCACUGGUGUUCGGGUUGUCAUGCCAAUGGCAUUGCCCGGUAGCUAAGUGCGGAAGAGAUAACCGCUGAAAGCAUCUAAGCGGGAAACUUGCCUUGAGAUGAGUCUUCCCUGACCCUUAAAGGGUCCUAAAGGAACGUUUAAGACUAAGACGUUGAUAGGUUGGGUGUGUAAGCGUAGCGAUACGUUGAGCUAACCAAUACUAAUGAACCGUGAGGCUUAACCUG
rnacentral:rRNA from 1 species